UACGUAGGGGGCAAGCGUUGUCCGGAUUUACUGGGCGUAAAGCGUGCGCAGGCGGUUAUGUAAGACAGAUGUGAAAUGCCCGGGCUUAACCUGGGAACUGCAUUUGUGACUGCAUGGCUAGAGUUUGGCAGAGGGGGGUGAGAAUUCCACGUGUGAGCAGUGAAAUGCGUAGAUAUGUGGAGGAACACCGAUGGCGAAGGCAGCCCCCUGGGUCAAGACUGACGCUCAUGCACGAAAGCGUGGGGAGCAAA
rnacentral:rRNA from 1 species